rnacentral:rRNA from 1 species
UACGAAGGGUGCAAGCGUUACUCGGAAUUACUGGGCGUAAAGCGUGCGUAGGUGGUUCGUUAAGUCUGAUGUGAAAGCCCUGGGCUCAACCUGGGAAUUGCAUUGGAUACUGGCGGGCUAGAGUGCGGUAGAGGAUGGCGGAAUUCCCGGUGUAGCAGUGAAAUGCGUAGAGAUCGGGAAGAACGCCAAGGGCGAAGGCACUCUGCGAGGCCUGAUUUCGCGACUGACACUCAGGGACGAGAGCCAGGGGAGCGAAUGGG